UUAUGCGAUACUUGGUGUGAAUUGCAGAAUUCAGUGAAUCAUCGAAUCUUUGAACGCACAUUGCGCCCGCCAGUAUUCUGGCGGGCAUGCCUGUUCGAGCGUCAUUUCAACCCUCAAGCUCAGCUUGGUGUUGGGACUCGCGGUAACCCGCGUUCCCCAAAUCGAUUGGCGGUCACGUCGAGCUUCCAUAGCGUAGUAAUCAUACACCUCGUUACUGGUAAUCGUCGCGGCCACGCCGUUAAACCCCAACUUCUGAAUGUUGACCUCGGAUCAGGUAGGAAUACCCGCUGAACUUAAGCAUAUCAAUAAGCGGAGGA
rnacentral:rRNA from 1 species